CCUACGGGAGGCAGCAGUGAGGAAUAUUGGUCAAUGGGCGGAAGCCUGAACCAGCCAAGUAGCGUGCAGGAUGACGGCCCUACGGGUUGUAACCUGCUUUUAUACGGGAAUAACGCGCCUUACGUGUAGGGCUUUCCAUGUACCGUAUGAAUAAGGACCGGCUAAUUCCGUGCAAGCUGCAGCGGUAAUUCGGAGGGUCCGGGCGUUAUCCGGAUUUAUUGGGUUUAAGGGGUGCGUAGGCGGCAUGUCAAGCGUGCUGUGAAAUGUCCGGGCUCAACCCGGGCCUUGCAGCGCGAACUGGCGUGCUUGAGUCCGCGGAAGGCAGGCGGAAUUCGUGGUGUAGCGGUGAAAUGCUUAGAUAUGACGAAGAACCCCGAUUGCGAAGGCAGCUUGCUGCAGCGGAACUGACGCUGAUGCUCGAAAGCGCGGGUAUCGAACAGGAUUAGAUACCCUUGUAGUC
rnacentral:rRNA from 1 species